GUAAGCAAGGAAUAAUGACAUUUAUGUCAUAGCAGCGUGAAUCAACCAACAUUUCUCACCUUCUGCAACAGGCCCCUGGUGUAACCCAUAACUGUUACAGAUAAGGCUUUCCACAUUAUGCAAUAUUCAUAUUUUUUUUUGUUUUCCUUUUCCAGAGCAAUGAUGUUAAAAUUAGGUUUUUGUUCCAAACCCUAGGUUUGAGGGAUAUUAUAAUUUUCUCUGCAGGCAACAUUCAUAAAUUAUUAAUAGCACCAAUAUCUAUGCAUGUGGGUCUGGCUCAGUCUUUAAUGUUCUUUGCAACUUAAGUAUGCCCAAAGCAGAUACUACGUCUUGUACUCUAAUGGAUGUACUAAAUGAGUCUGCACGAAGAAAUGCACUUUGAAAGCCCCGUGCAGCUUUCACUAUGUGAAACAACUGCUUUGCUGAAGGGAGUCCUGCCCUCCCUCUGUCCACCAAAGCCUCUCCAUUAAAAGUCCAUCUGUGUCCCUCAUGUUGCAUUGAUUGUGAUUAUGACCGGAGAGAGAGAGAGACCUCCAGACCUGCCCUGAGAGAAAGUCAAGAGUCCAUCAAUACAUACGGACUCUUAGGAAUACUUGAUUGAUGGUACUACUGGAGCGAUUAGUUAAUAUUAAAAAAAAAAGUAAAAAUAAAAAUUCUGUGUCUGGGCAUGCUAUAAUACCUGUUCCUUCAGACCACUUGGGUGCUGUAUAUUAAGAUGUGUUUGCUGAAUUUAGACCAGGCGUAAAGAGCACAGGGAUCUUGUCAGUAGUGGGCCUUUUUCAUGUUGGACCUGUGAUCACGGGUCUCUUUCUUUCUCUGUGUUUGUUUUGUGUCUGUAUUGCCUGUGCUUUAUCUCGUCCCUUGUCAUUGUAGUGCAAUGGCAAUGACUGAGCAAGUUCUGCUCUCUAUCCCUUUCUAUUUUCCUCAGUUUCUGUCUUUCCUCAGUCACUAUACAACUGUUUAGACAAACAAAGCAUGAUUGUGCAUAUGUUCUGUCAUGUCUAAAUUUUGAACCAGAACUGGUCAACUCCAGCUAAAGAUGUGGAAUCGCAAGACAAGUGAGUCUGAACCCUGACCUCGUUUUUAAAUCUCAUCAAAAAUGAACUCAGCCCUUGUUUCACUAACAGUCAAAUGUUAUAGCAAACUGAGACUAUAUCUCCAGCUGCUUUCAAUCACCAAGAGUCUAUUUUGAUCCAGUCCUUAAGAGAACUUGUUAGAGACCUUUUUGUUUGGUCACAUCCUUUCUGAAGCGUAUACCUGCUGGUAGCAAUACAGCACAGAUCCUGCCUUCUCAAGAGGGUGCUCUCUAGGUUUAAUGCAGCAGACCUUUUUUUUUUUUUUUCUUUUGCUUUCCUUCUUCAGUGUAUCUAACCAGAAGUGCCCUGCAGUGUUGUGACUUGUCCAAUGAAAAUGUGCUCUCUUGACUCCACAUUUGAUUCCACCAGGUUGACUGAGGAUUGAGACUCAGAUCGGGUAGGAAACAGAGAGAAAGACUGCAGUGAGUCAGUCCCGUGUCUCUGUCCUUUUGGUCAGCGUGUGCUCACUCGUGCUCUCUGUCGGCCUGAUGCACAAGUUCAAAACAGACUGACUCGUGUCAGGGAAACACAAGUUGGUCAUCCUCACAGGCACAAUGAGAGGGAGAGAAUGAACAAAAUAAUUGAACAGACAAACAAAAAAUGGGGAGAGGGGCAAACAGACAAUGUGUUCUUGUCUGUCUGUCUCCCUCCCUUCUCUCUCUCGUUCUGUCGCUCUGCAGAAAAGUGGAUCAAUAGUCGGAGCUCUCCUCAUCAAGUGGCGCCUCAUAUACGACCCAGCUUAACAUGCCAUGGCCAUUAAGGGGCAACAAAGAAAACCGAAAGGAAUCUGCUCUUCUCUCCCAUUUUGGAAAUGGAAUGGUGUGAUUUUGUGCAUUUCAUACCUCUUUGAGAAUGUUAAAUUAUUAAAAAAAAAGAAAAAAAAAUGUCAGAGAGCAACCAGAAGUUUGAACAUCAACAUUGUGGUUUUGUGGAGUCUUUAUUUGUUGGGGGGGGGAAAGUUCUGAAAACCUUCUCUUGCGUCCAUUUUCUGUGUGCAAGCUAACAAUUGACCUUUAUCGGAAAUUACUACUUGGAAGAUUAUUUUGAACACCCCCUUUACUAAAAGCAGUUAAGGGGAAAAAGUCAAGGCAAAAAGGCUUUUACACUUACCUAGACAACUGGAAAUAUUUUUUUAUAAGACCUUCCCUGUCUUUUUUUAUACAUUUGAAAUCCUGGUGGAUGGGAGUGAUUAUGGGCUUUUUACACUAACGGGGGGGAGUGAGAAACCACUCAAGCCUCUGUAAAUGGGGUGAAAUCAGUAGAUCAUUUAUAGAGCCUCAUGUUUCUGGGCAGGAAAUCACACAUGCAACCAACUUAGCAUACAUGUUCUACGUUGUCAAUUUAAUGCUUAAAUAAUUGGAAAUGUGUAGCCACAAAUUUCUACAUAUGUUUUUUUCUUUAAAAUGAGCUGCAUUCAGAGCUUCUAGUGCUCAGUGUAAUUUCAUUUUAUUAUUUUCUGUUUUGUUCCUCCCCAAAAAGAUAAAACUUGACAACUGGUGAUCAUCCAUCAACAUAAUCUGCAUGGUAUGGAACCUCUCUCCUACAUAUCCCACUGUUGUUAUUCAGUGCUGCUGUCCAGGACUUUGACCUUGAUAUCUCCUGAGCUUAUCAUUGUUGAAGAGCAUUUGUUGGAAGCCUUGUGGAACCCAGUUCACAGUGAAAGCAACAUGGACAAGCAAUGUGUACUUGAGGGUCAUGAAUGUGUUUUUUGGCUCCAGAGGUUUAGAUGAACUAGUCAUGUUUCUCUGGGCCAAGAGCUGCAAA